rnacentral:misc_RNA from 1 species
AAGUCGUAACAAGGUUUCCGUAGGUGAACCUGCGGAAGGAUCAUUACAAGAAACGAGGCUACGUGCCCCGCUCUUUACCUUGCCUACUGCACUAUCUGUUGCUUCCUGGCGGCGGUUUGCCUGCCGCCAGGGACAUUGUAAAGCCCUGCAUAAGCAUUGAAAAACUGAAACAAACCGAAUCGUACAACUUUCAACAAUGGAUCUCUUGGUUCUG